rnacentral:tRNA from 1 species
GGCUGGCUAGCUCAGUAAGUAGAGCAUGAGACUCUUAAUCUCAGGGUUGUGGGUUUGUGUCCCACGUUGGGCA